AUGCUCAUAAGGAAGUUCUGGUUGGGGAGUAAAGAAGGAAAACGGAAGCCGCAUUGGGUAUCUUGGACCACCAUGACUCAACCAAAGGGCAUGGGCGGCCUAGGAUUCAAGGAUUUUGAAAUUUUCAACCCGGCAAUGUUUGCCAUGCAAGCUUGGAGGUUACUACAACAUCCAGAGUCUCUUAGUGCGCGGCUGUUGAAGAGCAUCUAAUAUCCCAAUGACACUAUUUUGCAUGCACCUCUAGGGGGGCACCCUAGCCACGUGUGGAGGGCUAUCGUUCAAGGGAGGGACAUCUUGGAGCAAGGUCUGAUCCCGCGUAUUGGUAAUGGUCAGGAGACGAGUAUUUGGGGGACAAUUGGAUUCCGAGAGAUGAGAUGCUCCGACCUUAUGGGUGUAUCACUCAAAACCCGCCAGAGCUCGUUUCUGAGCUCAUUGAUCCAACAUCCGCGUCCUGGGAUAUGCAGCGAGUCUACAGUGUGUUCAUGCCGAUGGACGCCAAGGUAA
rnacentral:rRNA from 1 species